AUUGAACGCUGGCGGAAUGCUUUACACAUGCAAGUCGAGCGGCAGCGCGGGGGCAACCCUGGCGGCGAGCGGCGAACGGGUGAGUAAUACAUCGGAACGUGCCCUUAUGUGGGGGAUAGCCCGGCGAAAGUCGGAUUAAUACCGCAUACGACCUGAGGGUGAAAGCGGGGGACUGGUAGCAAUACUGGCCUCGCGCAGAAGGAGCGGCCGAUGUCGGAUUAGCUAGUUGGUGAGGUAAUGGCUCACCAAGGCGACGAUCCGUAGCGGGUCUGAGAGGACGGCCCGCCACACUGGGACUGAGACACGGCCCAGACUCCUACGCGAGGCAGCAGUGGGGAAUUUUGGACAAUGGGGGCAACCCUGAUCCAGCCAUUCCGCGUGAGUGAAGAAGGCCUUCGGGUUGUAAAACUCUUUCGGCAGGAACGAAACGGCUUGGGCUAAUACCCUGAGUUAAUGACGGUACCUGAAGAAGAAGCACCGGCUAACUACGUGCCAGCAGCCGCCGUAA
rnacentral:rRNA from 1 species